rnacentral:precursor_RNA from 17 species
AUGGUGUUGAUUGCUGGCAGUUUAUACUGUUGUAAACAUCCUUGACUGGAAGCUGUUUGGAGAUGGAUAGGCUUUCAGUCAGAUGUUUGCAGCUGUUGACUGCUGCUUACUUCAAUGAAUCAC